CGGGUGAGUAACGCGUGAGGAGCCUGCCUCAAAGAGGGGGACAACAGUUGGAAACGACUGCUAAUACCGCAUAAGCCCACGGCUCGGCAUCGAGCAGAGGGAAAAGGAGUGAUCCACUUUGAGAUGGCCUCGCGUCCGAUUAGCUAGUUGGUGAGGUAACGGCCCACCAAGGCGACGAUCGGUAGCCGGACUGAGAGGUUGAACGGCCACAUUGGGACUGAGACACGGCCCAG
rnacentral:rRNA from 1 species